UUAAAACUUAAAAGACUUGACGGUACUUCACCCCAGCCUAGAGGAGCCUGUCCAAUAACCGACAAUCCACGAUUAACCCAACCACUUCUCGCCCAACAGUCUAUAUACCGCCGUCGCCAGCUUACCUUGUAAAAGAAAUAAAGUGAGCUAAACAGUAACACACUAAAACGACAGGUCGAGGUGUAACUCAUGAAGUGGACCAAGAUGGGCUACAUUCUCUAACAGAGCAUACGAACAACACUAUGACAUUAGUGUUUGAAGGAGGAUUUAGCAGUAAGAUAAGAAUAAAAUACCUAACUGAACAUAACGCAAUGAAGUGCGCACACACCGCCCGUCACCCCUGCCACCACGAAUAA
rnacentral:rRNA from 1 species